rnacentral:tRNA from 1 species
GCCUGGGUGACUCAGUAGGUCAAGCAACUGACUUCAGCUCAGGUUAUGAUCUUGCUGUUUGUGGGUUCAAGCCCCACAUCAGGCU